CCUACGGGAGGCAGCAGUGGGGAAUUUUGGACAAUGGGCGAAAGCCUGAUCCAGCAAUGCCGCGUGAGUGAAGAAGGCCUUCGGGUUGUAAAGCUCUUUUGUCAGGGAAGAAACGGUGAAAGCUAAUAUCUUUUGCUAAUGACGGUACCUGAAGAAUAAGCACCGGCUAACUACGUGCCAGCAGCCGCGGUAAUACGUAGGGUGCAAGCGUUAAUCGGAAUUACUGGGCGUAAAGCGUGCGCAGGCGGUUUUGUAAGUCUGAUGUGAAAUCCCCGGGCUCAACCUGGGAAUUGCAUUGGAGACUGCAAGGCUAGAAUCUGGCAGAGGGGGGUAGAAUUCCACGUGUAGCAGUGAAAUGCGUAGAUAUGUGGAGGAACACCGAUGGCGAAGGCAGCCCCCUGGGUCAAGAUUGACGCUCAUGCACGAAAGCGUGGGGAGCAAACAGGAUUAGAUACCCUGGUAGUCCACGCCCUAAACGAUGUCUACUAGUUGUCGGGUCUUAAUUGACUUGGUAACGCAGCUAACGCGUGAAGUAGACCGCCUGGGGAUACGGUCGCAAGAUUAAAACUCAAAUGAAAUUGAGG
rnacentral:rRNA from 1 species